AAGGUUUCAUAGCCAGUCAGUGGUCGGGACAUCCCGUUCACGUGACCUGCUUUGGCCAAUAGCAUGUGAGCAGAAGGGACGCAUGCUCUGUCCGAGCGGGAGCUUUGAGAGUCAUCAGAUGACUGUGCUAUUGCGCUUUUCCCUCUGGGCAAGGCUGAGAUGGGGGUGCCCGGUUAUCUUGGGUUCCAGAAUGAGAGAGACAUGGCGCAAAGCCAAAGCUGACCCCACAGCCUUCACAUACGCCAGUGAGGAUAGAAAAGUUUGUUGUUGUAAUAAAUCCAUGGAGGAGAACCUGAUUGUGAAACUAAAGGCACAUGCACCUUAGUCAAGCACACUCCCCGCUCCCCUCUCCCUCGUUGGCGCUGGCGUUUGAUGGAGCUACGCUGGGUGAGCAGUAGCGGGGACCACCUGCUCUUCAAGUUGGUAAAAAUCCUCCACUUUCUCCCGAGGGCAAAGCUGCAUGAGGGAAGCAAGGCCACCCACUGGGGACUCCCCGAUGGGAAGCAGUGACUGUGACCAGAGAUGGUGACUAGGGAGGCUACAAACCAGUGAGAAGGAAAGCGUGGGGCAAGGCGCAGGUGGCCAGGGUUCCAGUGUCUGCGUCCUGCUCGCUCGCCGUGGGACUUCCAGCAAGCCGCUUACCUUCCCCGGGCCAACUUCCUGAGUGCAAAAACAGAGCAGAUUGCUGCCAGCGGCAAAGAGGAAAAGGACGUUGUCCCUGGAAAGAUCAAGCUUUCCCAGUCUUAAGCCAGUGAUCAAUUUGGCAUCGCAAAUUGCAGAACCAUAUGACGGGCUUCCCAGCGAGAGGCAAUAUGCAGUCCCCCGCAUGGCCCAGAAGUGUGCUUGCCAAAAGUGGCAACUAACCCAACUCAAGUCUUCAGAUCUAAUUUCCAGUUUACAAGAAGGGCAGGGGAAGGGGGAGCGAGUUAACUGAGAUAAGGAAACAACAGACAAUUCCUAUAGGAUGCCUGGCCCAGUCUCUCAAAAAAAAAUCAGUGUCUAAAAAAUAAAGAAACAUGACAAUCAAAAAUAUUGUGAGAUUCUUAAUAGAAUUCUGGGUUUUUCUUUUAUGGAGGAGAAAUUCAUAUAAUAUACAACUAAC